GUUUUUUUCUUUUUGCUCAGGAUAGUUUUGGCUAUUUUGCCCAGGAUAGCUUUGGCUAUUUGGGUCUUUUAUAGUUCCAUAUAAAUUUUAGGAUUUUUUUCUAUUUCUGUGAAGAAUGUCAUUUUUAUUUUGAUAAGGAUUGCAUUGAAUCUGUACAUUGCUUUGGAUAGUAUGGACAUUUUAACAAUAUUGACUCAAUCCAGAACAUGAAAUAUCUUUACAUAUUUUUGAGUCUGCUUCAGUUUCUUUCAUGAGUGUGUUAUAGUUUUCAUUGCACAGAUUUGGUGUCAGAAGUGAGGAUCCCAAGUAAGAGUCCUGUGACCCCCCCUGCCAGGAAUACCAGGCAACAAGAAACCAGAGAUUGGGUCUUCCGGAAACCACAUCAGAAGAAGACUGCCUUUGAACCCCAUUGGAAGGGGUUAUACCAAGUUAUUCUCACUACUUACUUGAAGUACUUACUUGAAAUAAGACUUCAAGGCUUCAAACUUUGGAACCACAUCUCACAACUCAAAAAGGAACCCAGAUGUAGUCUGCUCACAGUACUAACGAAAAGAGUGGAUCUUCUAAUUCAUCUUCCUCAGCAGCACAAACUCUUCCCACCCUAGGAGCAGAAACCAGGCUGAGAUGUAUGGAAGCCUCCAGUACUAAGCUACCCAGACAGAAAGCAACAUCCAGGUCAAAGCAUCACUGUCCGACCACAUGACCCUUCUACACCUGGGCCCCGAAGGCACUGCUAGGAGUCAACAGCUCCACCUGGUGACCAGAGGCUGGCCUUCAUCAAAGGCUCAGGCACUGCAGCAGUUGAGAAUUUCUCUUUAUGGGUAUUUCCUCAGGCAUAAAUACAGUAACUAAAACAUAUGUUUUCAUUGUCUGCUACUUAUGGAAUAAACAUUAAUGUUUUGUGUUUUCAAAGCUAUUUAAGUCAAAAAAAUCCUUUAAUAAUGUUUAUGGAGAACUGAAAAAUUGUUACUGGAGGUCUCACAAAAAAAAUCACAGUGAAAAAACAAAUAAUUCUGUGCAAAAGUCUGUUUAUUAAACCUAUAUUCAUCUUACAACAAAAUCAGAAGUUAAUAACUAAGGUGUCACUGAUUUCAAGACUAUUUCCAUCAAACUUUAAAGUUUGCUCAUUUUUCAUUUAAUUAAUAAUUUAAUACCCACCCCCCUACCAACACGACCCAUGGGGAGACAAUAAGUGUAAAGCUCUGACAAUAUAAAAUGCUGUGGAAAAUAAUCCUGUCAGUCAUAUUGAUAGCUAGAAUGAUUUGCCAGUUUUUAUAGCCAUCAUAACAGCAGCCUGUGAUUUGAAAUCUCAUAAAACAGGAAGCUGUGUGCUUAAAGACAUGCCUGGAAUUCCUGAUGUGAUGGGAGACAAUUGUUGUGAUCUGUUGCUGCCACCAGCAGGCCAUUCUCACAAAAUGGUAUUUUCCCCUUUGCUUUUUGUUUCCAACUUACCUACUGAUAUUUCUUGACCACCACAUUCUUUAAUCAGGAUAAAUAAUUAGAUAAAAAAACAAAUCUUUUUCAUGGGUAUCCUCAGUAACAAUCACUUCUUUAAAAUCUACCAUAUAUAACCUUUUUAAAAUUUAUUUAACAAACAGGCCUAAUCUUUCUGCUUAUCUUUUAUUCCUUUUUUUUUUCAUAAGCUCCUAAAUCCUUGCAUUUUUUAAAUCAGGUUCCUGGUAAAUAUAUCUUAAUAUGAGAACAAGUGAUCCUGGCAUAAAAGGUAGAAGCCCACAGUUCAUCACACUGAUGACUGCUAUAAGAUAUUCCUUAAAUUUUCAUUUAGCUGGCGAAUUUAAGGCUGGUGCAUACAAACAAGUUCUAUAGCCACAUCAACCUGGGAUCAGAUCCAGCUUCUUAGCAUUGUGCUCUUGGGAAGCAUUUAACCUUUCUAGGCAUCAGUAUCCUCCCUGUAAAAUGAGGAUAAUAAUAAUACCCAUGUCUUAGGAUUGACAAGAGGAAUAAAUGAAAUAAUGCAUAUAAAGCAUUUAGCAAAAUGUCUGGCACAUAGUAAGCCAUCAAUGAAUGACUCAUUAUUAUUAUUAAAGUGUAAAAAUUAAGACUUCCAUACAAUCAGAAGCCAAAUCAAUGGGAGAGUUCUGACUAGAACCUCCAAAUCUGCUGAUUCCAAGCCAAGGGCUUUGAACAUCGUAUUGCAAUGAUGCUUUCUAUUUAUCUAAUUAAGAUGAAGACUCUGGUUCUUUUGGGAUAGGCCAAGAUUGCUGAAAACAUCACUUUUCAAAUAUGAAGUCCUUUUUAAGCCCAGAAUUAGACAAACCAUUAGGUUCCACUGGACGUCCCUCCUACAUCUGAAAACAGCUUUCUCCCCCUUGGAUGACAGAAGUGGUAUUUUUAUGGUAAUAUUUCUCAUAAGAAGCAAGUACAUGAGAUUCCUCUUUAAGCUCUGAAAUUUCUUUCUUUUGCAGAGCUUCAGAUAAAUAAAGCAGCUUUCCAUUAUGUGUUUCUGUCUAGCAAGGCUAUUCAAUAUGUUCAUGGUGGAGCAUAGGCAUGAGGGGCGCUCUCCAGCACAGUUAGUGGAAACAAUUUCUAGUCUAGUUCAAAGCAGUAACUAAAGCCAGGUUCCUUUGAUGUCUUACUGAGAAAGCUGCCCUGCAGCAUAAGACAGGGCAGUGUGAAUUCCCGUCUAGCCUUGUGGCUGAAGUUUUGUGGAUCAGGAGCUGGGGAAGACCAGAAGUGCCAAAGGUCUACUUUGCUACAGAGAAAAUAAGUGAAGCGACUGUGUCUCAAUGAAAGGUUGGACACCGCUGACCAUUCUUCAAGUCCUCGACAAUUUGCUGAGCAGAUACUCACCAUGGGUCAGGCUCUAGGACACCAUGGGAAAAACUGAGGCAGAAGCACACUCAGCAUUUAAGUGACAGCUUCUGUCAGCUCAUGCAGCAGAUUGACAGAUCGCAAUAACAAAAAGGGAAGUCUGGAUGCUGUCAGAGGCAAGAAGAAACUGCUGCCUCUGCUUUCUUCAGUGUUGAGCACAGCUCCAUGCUCAGCAGUUGGCGUAAAUAAAUACCUUGAAACUGAGAUCUAUGAGCAAGAAACAUGAUCAAGGUGGUUAAAGAAGUAAAAGAGGUAAAGUACCUCAUUCAUUCAUUCAAUUACUAAAUAGCUAUUCUAUGCCAGGUCCCAUACAAGGUCCUGAGAAUAUUAGGGUAAGUAAGAUUAAAUCCCCAUCCUCAAAGGAGUCCACCAAGAGAGAGAGGGAGAGCAUGCGACCACAUGAGCAUAUGGACUGGGAACAUAGAGAAAGGGAAAAUUCUUAUAAACAGCACCUCUCACGCAAAAGCUGCUUUAUACGUGCAAACCAGGUGUUAAGGUCCCUUAACAUGUGGAUAAAAUGAGUCUAUACCCCCACAAAUGCCUGGCUUGUCAAAGUCCAAAGUCUUCAUCAAUUCCCAGAGGGCUAUCUUCUGUACUUCUCAGCCUCUGAGAUCCCAUGCCACAUAUGCUACCUUUAUUCCAUGUCACAUGGGUUCUCCCAUGAAAUUCAGCCUCUUCUGAAAUUUCUACUGCAAAAUCACUCUCAUGCAGGAUACUGGAAGAUUUCAGAGUGAGGCAGAGAAAUGGAUGGAAGGUUACUUCCCACACUACUUGGCAAACAAACAACUUUAUGAAGAACAAUAGGUAUCCACUAUAAAAACAGGGCCCAGCACCCUUACCUAAGGAGCUGAAAUGUUCCUUUUGACAGAUUUGUCUUGAAUUGAGAUAAGGGUGCUGGGCCUUUCUACCCAGCAUCCACCAGUCUCAAAUGUUGGCCAACCAGGGGAGGAGCAUAAUCUUGGGUGAGGCAGAUCCUCUCAGCUGAGGGCUAUUCUUGGGGAAGAAUUUGGCUAUAAGUGGCCCACA
rnacentral:lncRNA from 1 species